AUUAAAGCUUUCUUUUCAGUAUUUCCAGAAGAAAAAGUGCCUACUUCUGGGAUGUGGCUUCUCCAACUUUCCAGGGGUACUCACUGACAUUGGAGGAGGGGAAGAUGCUCUGGCUACUCCCAAGCAUUAAGGCCCUUUCUUCACUGCCCAUAUGGAUACUUCUCUCUGGUUGAGAGGAUGAUAAGGGUAACUAGCCAUCCCUAAUAUGCCCGUUGGUAUUUCUUUCAGGCAUUCAGUGACUUCUUUCAGAUCUGUUUUCAGGGUCCCAGCAAAUGGCUCAGGAAAAGAAACUCCAGAAGUUCACGGCUACCUGAAUGAAUGUCCAUGAGUCUCUGUGUGGGAGCAAGCACAGUUAAGUGACUUGCCCAGGGUCACACAGCUGGUUACUAUCUGAGGCAGGAUUUGAACUCAGGUCCUCCUGACUCUGGGACCAGUGCUACUGCCCUUAGCACAAAUAUCAGAUUCUUCUAUAGUUCAUGGAAAUUUGGGUUUUUCUGGAAGACAUCUCUUCUUUGGCCAACCUUUCCAACAACUGGAGUUCCUUUUUUUAGGGCUUUAACACAUAGAACCAGGAGGGGCAAGGUGAUUCUCUCCUCACUGCCUCUGCCAAACCCUGGACCUCUCUACCAUAAUAAGCAUUCACUUGACAUUCAGUUCAUCCACUUAAAUGCAAUAAUAUUGCAUUACUUUAAUAUACCACAAUUUGUUUAGUCAUUUUGUUUAACUGGCAUUUACUUUGUUUUCAUUUUUUUGUUACCACAAAAAAAAGAGCUGUAAUAAAUAUUUUGGUGUAUAUGGGGGCCUUCCUUUUAUCGAUGAUCUCCUUAGAAUAUGUCUAGUAGAGCAACCUCUGGGUCAAAGGGCAUAGAUAUUUUAGUCACUUUAUUUGUGUAAUUCCAAAUUGCUUUCCAAAAUGGUUGCACUGAUUCAAAUAGCUUCACCAACGAUGAACUAGUCUAUCUAUUUU
rnacentral:lncRNA from 1 species